AUUAAACACACACAUGAUAAUUCACACAGAAGACAAACCUUUUAGUUGUGAUGCAUGUGGAAAAAGAUUUGCCUACAAAUCACAUUUAAACACACACAUGAGAAUUCACACAGGAGAUAAACCCUUUGGUUAAGAUCUUUGUGUGGACUGUUUUGGUUUCAAGUCACAAUAGAACAAUUGCAAGAAUCCAAACUGGAGAGAAACCUUUUGGUUGUGAUGAAUGUGGUAAAAACGUUCCCUUCAAGUCAAAUCUAAACCAGGAUGAUAGAAUUUACAGAAAAGACAAACCCAUUGCUAGUUAUGUUUGCCAGGGCCACCAUUCAGCCUAUGGUUUUAACAGAUUUAAAUGAGUGUUUCAUCGCACAUAGGUUGGUUUUAUGGAUUACAGACUUUUUAACAGGUAGAGUCCAGCAGGUUCAACACUCUCUGACAAAACAAUUACCAGCACAAGCUCUCCUCAGGGAUGUGUUUUAUAUUCAUUGUUAUUCACCUCGUACACCAACUCCUGCAAAAGCACUUUCCCUAAUAGACAUUUAAUUAAAUAUGCUGACGACAUGGUCCUUUUAGACGACAAAGGAGAGGAGCAUGGACUAGUUCAGACCUUUUCACUAAUUGGUGCAAAAAAUCCAAGUUGCUAUUGACUUCAGGAAGCUUCAGUCAUUCUCCCCAACCAUCAUCGAUGGAGAUCAAAUUGAGACUAAUGCUAGAAGUACCUGGGCAUGGUUCUGGACUGCCAUCUAAGCUGGUGACCUAGAUGUGAAUCACCACAUCUCUCCAUCCGUCCAUUGGCAGGUCGCCCCCUGGCGUCUUCAAAUAAAGUUUCUCACUUCCAUUUUAAGCGGUAAUAACUCUGUUCAACCAUGUGCUGAAGAAUAAUUACAUACCAUUGAAAAUCAAUUGUCCCAAAUGGUUAUAAAUUUCUAAUUUGGGAAAUUAUUCUUUUGAAAAUUAUUUUAUUAAAAUAAUGUUUUACUUACCUUCUGUUUUGUGUUGUGACUGGUUGUUUGAACAUAUACCAGUUGUUGCCCUUAAUUACUUUUAAAACUAAUUUGACCUGAUUUCCAGAUUCCUCAAAAUAAAUCCUGGUUUUUAAACCUUAA